AGUAGGAUAGCUGGGUCAUAUGGUGGUUCCACUCCUCAUUUUUGAGGAAUGUCCACACUCUUUUUCAAAGUUGUUGUCCUAGUUUGUAUUCCUACCAACAAU
rnacentral:pre_miRNA from 1 species